UUCAUAUGCAAAGCUGUGGUUCGUAUAUCCUCAAUAAUACGGUUUGAGGGUUUCUACAAGGGACCGUAAAUCCCGGGCUACGAAUAGGAGGAUUCGUGUA
rnacentral:ncRNA from 2 species